CUAGGCGGCCGGGCUGUCCACGGGGCCCAUGCGGAGCCGCCUCUCACCUCCCCUGGGAACAGCGCCGCGCCGACCAGGAUCCGCCGAGGCCCCGCAGCUUCGGCUUCAUCCGCGUGCCCCGGCUUCCCCGAGCUGGGCGCGCCCCGCUCCCCCGAGGCCGCCCGGCCACCCCGGCCGAGCUCCUAGGCCAAGCCCUUGAAGCACAGUGAAUUAAGCCUGGAAGAGAAGUUAAAGUUGGCUCUUAUAAUUCAGCCUUUCCAGUUCAUGAAUCCCCCAAGAGCCUUCCUGAUGAAUAGGCUCCACCUUUUUCAGUGGAUGCAAGCUUCAUGAAAGCAGCCUUUUUUGUUCUGCUUGCUGCUGUACUCCUAUGCCCAGGAGCAACACCUGAGCCCUGGCUGACUUAAUGCUCAUCAGAAACAAUAUCGAAGAAGAAGAAAAAGAAACCACAAAAUGACCCCCAGGUGGGGGAUGGGAGGCCUGUCUCAGGCCUCUUUCGACUCUGAGAUAGGACUGGUACUUUCACUUGACCACUCUGAACCAAUUUUCUCUCUCUAAUUGUCUGUCCUCCAGAGUUACUGUAAACACAAAUGAACUAAUGCAUGGAUGUGUUUUGGAUUUUGUAAAAUCUUAUAAAACCAAGAAGUAUUAGGCUCCUGUUUAGAUUAUUUCUUUAAUACUUACAGAGAUGUGCCCAGCUAUUAACUUCAACAGGAUAAAAAAUAACCAACUUUUUGUGAUUUGUCAACACCUUUCUUAUAAUUUCCAUCACCAACAUCAUUAUGUUCAUCAUCAUCUUAGUAUUUGAGAGCAUGCUUUGGUCCCACAAUGAUAUGCACUUUGUAUGGAUUAACUCAUUGAAUCCUCACAAUGAUUUUAAGGAGUAGAUACUAUUCUCUUCCCCCCCCCCUAGGAAAUAAAUACAAAAGUUAAAAGAUUCGCUCAUUCAACUUGUAUACAGCAGAAUUAUGACACACACCCAAGGCUCUUCAUCUUCAAAGUCUUAAGGACUUAACUUCCUAUAAGGUUUUUCUCAGCCAUUAGAAAUGACAAAUACCCACCAUUUGCUUCAACGUGGAUGAAACUGAAGGGUAUUAUGCUGAGUGAAGUAAGUCAAUCAGAGAAGGACAAACAUUAUAUGGUCUCAUUCA